GACGAACGCUGGCGGCGUGCUUAACACAUGCAAGUCGAACGAAGUGGCGAAAGGGUGAGUAACGCGUAAACAACCUGCCCUUCAGAGGGGAACAACAGUUGGAAACUACUGCUAAUACCGCAUACUGAAGGAGGGGAUUGCGUCUGAUUAGCUGGUUGGAGGGGUAACGGCCCACCAAGGCGAUGAUCAGUAGCCGGUCCUGGAGGAGUAACGGGCAAAUUGGGAACUGGACACGGCCCAGAAUCCUACGGGAGGCAGCAGUUGGGAAUCUUCCGCAAUGGACGAAAGUCUGACGGAGCAAAGCCGCGUGAGUGAUGACGGCCUUCGGGUUGUAAAGCUCUGUUAAUCGGGACGCGGGACCGGAAUAGAAAGCCACGGCUAACUACGUGCCAGCAGCCGCGGUAAUAC
rnacentral:rRNA from 1 species